rnacentral:rRNA from 1 species
UAGAGUUUGAUCAUGGCUCAGAGCGAACGCUGGCGGCAGGCUUAACACAUGCAAGUCGAGCGGGCGUAGCAAUACGUCAGCGGCAGACGGGUGAGUAACGCGUGGGAACGUACCUUUUGGUUYGGAACAACACAGGGAAACUUGUGCUAAUACCGGAUAAGCCCUUACGGGGAAAGAUUUAUCGCCGAAAGAUCGGCCCGCGUCUGAUUAGCUAGUUGGUGAGGUAAUGGCUCACCAAGGCGACGAUCAGUAGCUGGUCUGAGAGGAUGAUCAGCCACAUUGGGACUGAGACACGGCCCAAACUCCUACGGGAGGCAGCAGUGGGGAAUAUUGGACRAUGGGGGCAACCCCKRWYCCAGCCAUGCCGCGUGAGUGAUGAAGGCCCUAGGGUUGUAAAGCUCUUUUGUGCGGGAAGAUAAUGACGGUACCGCRAGAAUAAGCCCCGGCUAACUUCGUGCCAGCCGCCGCGGWAAUUC